rnacentral:rRNA from 1 species
UGGCUCAGGAUGAACGCUAGCGACAGGCUUAACACAUGCAAGUCGAGGGGCAGCGGUGGUGAAGGCUUGCCUUUACCAGCCGGCGACCGGCGCACGGGUGAGUAACACGUAUGCAACCUGCCUGCCACAGCCGGAUAAUCGGGAGAAAUUCCGUCUAAUACGGCAUAAUGCAUCGACGGGACAUCCUGUUGGUGCCAAAGGUUGAUUCCGGUGGCGGAUGGGCAUGCGUCGCAUUAGUUAGUUGGCGGUGUAACGGACCACCAAGACGACGAUGCGUAGGGGUUCUGAGAGGAAGGUCCCCCACACUGGUACUGAGACACGGACCAGACUCCUACGGGAGGCAGCAGUGAGGAAUAUUGGUCAAUGGGCGGGAGCCUGAACCAGCCAAGUCGCGUGAGGGAUGACGGCCCUAUGGGUUGUAAACCUCUUUUGCCGGGGAGCAAAGUGCCGCACGUGUGCGGUUUGGAGAGUACCCGGAGAAAAAGCAUCGGCUAACUCCGUGCCAGCAGCCGCGGUAAUACGGAGGAUGCGAGCGUUAUCCGGAUUUAUUGGGUUUAAAGGGUGCGUAGGCGGACGCUUAAGUCAGCGGUAAAAUUGCGGGGCUCAACCUCGUCGAGCCGUUGAAACUGGGUGCCUUGAGUGGGCGAGAAGUACGCGGAAUGCGUGGUGUAGCGGUGAAAUGCAUAGAUAUCACGCAGAACUCCGAUUGCGAAGGCAGCGUACCGGCGCCCAACUGACGCUGAAGCACGAAGGCGUGGGUAUCGAACAGGAUUAGAUACCCUGGUAGUCCACGCAGUAAACGAUGAAUGCUAGUUGUCCGGGGCGAUUGAGUUCUGGGUGACACAGCGAAAGCGUAAGCAUUCCAACUGGGGAGUACGCCGGCAACGGUGAAACUCAAAGGAAUUGACGGGGGCCCGCACAAGCGGAGGAACAUGUGGUNUAAUUCGAUGAUACGCGAGGAACCUUACCCGGGCUCAAACGCAGGAGAGAUGUUUUUGAAAGGAGGCAGCCAGCAAUGGUCUCCUGCGAGGUGCUGCAUGGUUGUCGUCAGCUCGUGCCGUGAGGUGUCGGCUUAAGUGCCAUAACGAGCGCAACCCCUACCUACAGUUGCCAUCGCGUGAUGGCGGGCACUCUGUGGGGACUGCCUGCGCAAGCAGUGAGGAAGGCGGGGAUGACGUCAAAUCAGCACGGCCCUUACGUCCGGGGCGACACACGUGUUACAAUGGCGGUACAGCGGGAAGCCACCCGGCGACGGGGCGCGGAACCCGAAAACCUGUCUCAGUUCGGAUUGGAGUCUGCAACCCGACUCCAUGAAGCUGGAUUCGCUAGUAAUCGCGCAUCAGCCACGGCGCGGUGAAUACGUUCCCGGGCCUUGUACACACCGCCCGUCAAGCCAUGGAAGCCGGGGGUGCCUGAAGUGCGUGACCGCAAGGAGCGCCCUAGGGUAAAACCGGUGACUGGGGCUAAGUCGUAACAAGGUA